rnacentral:rRNA from 1 species
CACUCCUGCGGGAGGCAGCAGUGGGGAAUUUUACGCAAUGGGGGAAACCCUGACGUAGCGACACCGCGUGAGCGAAGAAGCCCUUUGGGGUGUAAAGCUCUGUCAGCUGGAACGAAAACAAUGACGGUACCAGCAGAGGAAGCAUCGGCUAACUACGUGCCAGCAGCCGCGGUAAGACGUAGGAUGCGAGCGUUGUCCGGAUUUAUUGGGCGUAAAGAGUUCGUAGGUGGUUUGUUAAGUUUGGUGUUAAAGAUCGGGGCUCAACCCUGGGACUGCACUGAAUACUGGCAGACUCGAGUGUGGUAGAGGCUAGUGGAAUUCCCAGUGUAGCGGUGAAAUGCGUAGAUAUUGGGAAGAACACCGGUGGCGUAGGCGACUAGCUGGGCCAUAACUGACGCUGAGGAACGAAAGCCAGGGGAGCGAAUGGGAUUAGAAACCUCUGUAGUCCCAUGAU